AAGUCGUAACAAGGUUUCCGUAGGUGAACCUGCGGAAGGAUCAUUAACACUUACUGUACUUUUCGUAGGUACAUGUAUUUCAACAAACCGUGCUCCCUUUUUUUUCAAACCUCAAACCUAUUUUUAACAUUUUUGUUUUUAACAGUUUUUCAUUUUAGUUUUAUUCUUUGUCUUUUUAAAAAAACAGAAACAAAUCUAAAACGAAAAUGUAAGUAAUAACAAUAUUAUUGGUAAGCUAGUACUAGUGACUAUUUUAGCAAUAAUAAAGUUACACAAACAACUGUUAACAAUGGAUAUCUAGGCUCUC
rnacentral:misc_RNA from 1 species